UACGGGGGGGGCAAGCGUUGUUCGGAAUUACUGGGCGUAAAGGGCUCGUAGGCGGCCAACUAAGUCGGACGUGAAAUCCCCAGGCUCAACCUGGGAACUGCGUCCGAUACUGGAUGGCUUGAAUCCGGGAGAGGGAUGCAGAAUUCCAGGUGUAGCGGUGAAAUGCGUAGAUAUCUGAAGGAAUACCGGUGGCGAAGGCGGCAUCCUGGACCGGCAUUGACGCUGAGGAGCGAAAGCCAGGGGAGCAAACGGG
rnacentral:rRNA from 1 species